CCCACGUGGACCUCUAGCCCCGCGGGUUCUUCCUGCGGCCCCGGCGCUCUGUCCCCUGCGCGGGCCGCGGAGCCGUCGGGCGGACGCCCCGGGGGAGCCUCGGGAGGCGGCGAUGGUGUGUUGCGGGUUCUCAAGACCUCCACGAUGUUGGAUGAUUGAUUGGUGUGACUUCUGGGAAUCAGUGUAUAGUCCUCCUCACAACUGAUUUAUGACAGCAAAAGGAUACAAACCAAAAACAGCAAAGGGAAAACAAACAUCCAUGGACCAAAGUCUGGAGGAAAUCAGGCAGUGAGACUCAAUUUCAAGCCAAUAGGCUAGUUUCUCCAGAGGAAAGUUUUGGAAAAAACGUAUUCAAGGAACAAAAAACAUCAAAAUUCACAAAAAAUGAUUCUUGGAUCAGCAUUUUAGGAAAAAAUAUCGAUGCCCAUAGCAUUGAAAAUCAGUGCAAA